CCAUUGUCUCCAGUACAGCGCACAGUACUCCAAUUGAGGUCUCACAAGUGCUCUUUGGUUCGAAUAAGCUUUUCACAAGCAUGCUUUAUUUCAGCAAGCUUGCGUCAAACUGUCCAAGAGCCAACUGAACACUUCAUAAGACAGUGUGAAAACAGCCUUAUCCACACCUUUUGAUAUGAACAGUAUCAUGUAGAUAUAUAUAUACAAGCUUAGAAGAGAAAAGAAAAGGAGAAGAGAGUCAAUGCGGAAUAGAGAUUGAAUCAGCUGACAAGAACUUUUGACCAGGACCAUCUGUACAUGCAUUAUUUGUGGUCAUCUCAUACAUGGGCGUAGCUAAAGAAUACAGAUUAACACUGGCCACACACGUAUAAAACACUACCACUGAGUUACUGGCGGUCAAUCCUUCACUUUGUGAAUCUGACGGUGGUCGAGUCCGGGAGUAUUGAAACAGAAGUCUAAAAGAGGAUACUCUGC